GGAUUAUUUUGAUACAUAUUGUCACUGAAAAAUUGAAUACUUUACAAUGGUAUCUGGAAUAUCUGGUAACAUGGAUAUUAGAUCAAAUAUAAUUUUAUCUGGAAUAUCUGGUAAUAUGGAUAUUAGACCAAAUAUAAUUUUAUCGUUACAAGCUAAUUUUUAGUUUUGUUGUUAUGAAAAACAAAAAAAAAAUUAAUAAAACUGCUUC
rnacentral:lncRNA from 1 species